rnacentral:rRNA from 1 species
GACGAACGCUGGCGGCGUGCCUAAUACAUGCAAGUAGGACGCAGUUGCGAACGGGUGAGUAACGCGUAGGUAACUACCUAUUAGAGGGGGAUAACUAUUGGAAACGAUAGCUAAUACCGCAUACUAGUAGAUGGACCUGCGUUGUAUUAGCUAGUAGGUAGGGUAAUGGCCUACCUAGGCAACGAUACAUAGCCGACCUGGGAGGUUGAUGUGCCACACUGGGACGGAAGCACAGCCCCAUCUCCUACGGGAUGCAGCAGUAGGGAAUCGUCGGCAAUGGGGGGAAGCCUGACCGAGCAACGCCGCGUGAGUGAAGAAGGUUUUCGGAUCGUAAAGCUCUGUUGUUAAGGCAGCGGUACUGAACCAGAAAGGGACGGCUAACUACGUGCCAGCAGCCGCGGUAAUAC